AUGCUCUGAUUGCUCUUCAGAAUGAACAAAUCUUUCGCCUUUUACUAAAGAUUUCCGUGGAGAGGAGCAAAACUGAGUUGUGUUACCGCUUGACAGGACCACGGUUUACAGAAAGUGU